rnacentral:misc_RNA from 1 species
CCCGCAGCUAAUAUUAAAGUUGGUUUCUAUCAUUGACGAUAGGACUAGGAGGAAGGGAUCGAGGUUUGAAGAGGUGUUUUUGAUUGAAGCAACAGAGUCAAAAUGGGAAGCAUAGCUCUGUUACUGCUCAAAGUACCAUCACCACCAAGGCAUCACUCAUUUUUCAACAACAGAAAAUUGAGCUCUGUUUCAGAGCUGCUCACUCAUUACAAUAGUUUUAAGACUCGAAAAUGCUCAACAAAAGCAACACAUGGGUCCUCUCUUCAACCCCCAGAUGUGUGUAGUUUGGCUGAAACUGCUCGAAUUUCAAUCACCCCAAAUGAGGUUGAAGAAUUCACCCCCAAAAUUCGACAAGUGAUUGACUGGUUUGGACAACUUCAAGCAGUUGAUCUUAAUAGUGUUGAGCCUGCAAUCAGAGCAGAGACAAAAGGUGAGAACUUGCGUGAUGACAUUCCUCAAGCAUAUGGGAAUAGGGAAGCUGCGGUUGCUGCUAUUCCAAGCUAUGAAGAGCCUUAUAUCAAAGUUCCCAAAGUUUUGAACAAGGAAUAAAUGCACUCUUUAGAUAAACUUGCUUCUUUCUUUAUGUAUGCAACUUCAGCUAAGUUGUAGACAUUGUUGUCAAUUCCCUG